CAUGCACUGAUGGGGUCCUUCGGCCUGGCCUGCGCCCUCUCUCAACCCAGGACCCCUUGGGAGAUGUCGGACUGUUGAUUCCGGCCUGAUCCCUGCAGGCCAGGCUGAGGGACCCCACCGGUGCACG
rnacentral:pre_miRNA from 1 species